rnacentral:rRNA from 1 species
AGACGAACGCUGGCGGCGUGCCUAAUACAUGCAAGUCGAGCGGAUCUUCAUUAGCUUGCUUUUGAAGAUCAGCGGCGGACGGGUGAGUAACACGUGGGCAACCUGCCUGUAAGACUGGGAUAACUUCGGGAAACCGGAGCUAAUACCGGAUAAUCCUUUCCCUCACAUGAGGGAAAGCUGAAAGACGGUUUCGGCUGUCACUUACAGAUGGGCCCGCGGCGCAUUAGCUAGUUGGUGAGGUAACGGCUCACCAAGGCAACGAUGCGUAGCCGACCUGAGAGGGUGAUCGGCCACACUGGGACUGAGACACGGCCCAGACUCCUACGGGAGGCAGCAGUAGGGAAUCUUCCGCAAUGGACGAAAGUCUGACGGAGCAACGCCGCGUGAACGAUGAAGGCUUUCGGGUCGUAAAGUUCUGUUGUCAGGGAAGAACAAGUACCGGAGUAACUGCCGGUACCUUGACGGUACCUGACCAGAAAGCCACGGCUAACUACGUGCCAGCAGCCGCGGUAAUACGUAGGUGGCAAGCGUUGUCCGGAAUUAUUGGGCGUAAAGCGCGCGCAGGCGGUUCCUUAAGUCUGAUGUGAAAGCCCCCGGCUCAACCGGGGAGGGUCAUUGGAAACUGGGGAACUUGAGUGCAGAAGAGGAGAGCGGAAUUCCACGUGUAGCGGUGAAAUGCGUAGAGAUGUGGAGGAACACCAGUGGCGAAGGCGGCUCUCUGGUCUGUAACUGACGCUGAGGCGCGAAAGCGUGGGGAGCGAACAGGAUUAGAUACCCUGGUAGUCCACGCCGUUAAGCGAUGAGUGCUAAGUGUUAGAGGGUUUCCGCCCUUUA